rnacentral:rRNA from 1 species
CGCCUGUUUAUCAAAAACAUGUUUUUUUGAUUAAAUAAAAAGUCUAGCCUGCCCGGUGAAUUUUUAACGGCCGCAGUAUACUGACUGUGCAAAGGUAGCAUAAUCUAUUGUCUUUUAAUUAAAGGCUUGUAUGAAUGGUUGAAUGAGAUAUUAACUAUUUUUAUUUUAAUAAAAAUGAAUUUUAAUUUUUAGUAAAAAUGCUAAAAUAAAAAAAUUAGACGAGAAGACCCUAUAAAUCUUAAUUUUAUUUUUUAUAAUAUUAAUUUUGAAAAUUUUUAAUAAAUUAUAAAAAUAAAAUUUUAUUGGGAGGAUAAUGAAAUUUAAUAAACUUUUAUUUUUUUUUAUAAAUAUAAUUAAAUUAUUGAAUAUAUAAUUAUAAAAUAUUUAAAAAAUUAAGUUACUUUAGGGAUAACAGCGUAAUUAUUUUAAAGAGUUCUUAUCGAUAAAAUAGUUUGCGACCUCGAUGUUGAAUUAAGAAUUAAUUUAGGUGUAGAAGUUUAAAUUUUAAGUCUGUUCGACUUUUGAAUCCUUACAUGAUCUGAGUUCAGACCGG